CAUGCACACAUUCACAAAAGAGAGAUUUAAGGAAUUGGCUCAGGUGAUUAUGGAGGCUGUAAGUCCAAAAUCUUCAGAGUAGGGAGAGAGGCUAGAUACCCGUGGAAAAGUUGAUGUUGCAAUAUGAGUGCUAAGGCAGAUUGCUAAUAGAAUUUCCUUUUCCUUAAGGGAUAUUAGCCUUUUUUUCUUUCAAGGCCUUCAACUGAGUGGAUGAGGCCCAACUGCAUUGUGAGAGUAAUUUGCUUUGCUCAUCGAAUACUGAUUUAAAUGUUAAUGUUAUCUAAAUAAAUACUUCAUAAAAACAUCUAGACUGGUGUUUGACCAAAUACCUGGGUACCAUGGCCUAGCCAAAUUAACACAUAAAUCAGCCGUCACAAAUUAGAAACCUACUGGUAAAGACUUAGAAAAUUAUUUUAAAAAAUAUUUCCCCCCAUAUUAAUAUAAUCAUGUUCAACAUAAUUUUUUAGAAUAAACACAUAGCGUAGCACUUUUUAGUCACACUGUACAUUGAAAUAGAUAUAAAUAAAUAUCCACAACUCAGCCCCACCUACAGAAUUUUUACUAAAAAUUAGUAGUUAACACUGUUGAUCAAACCCAUUGUUUUUCCCAUAGAGAAGCUGCUCUCCAAGUGAAUACAGCUCAAUGCAACUCAACAAGUGUUUGCAGAGCACCUGCUGAAAGUCAAGGAGAAGCCUUACUCACUUCCAUAUCAACUGUACCAUUCACUUUCUGUCAUGCACAACCUCCCAAUAUUAAAUACCUUUUCACAUUCGAAGGCCUGGAUUCCUCAAGAUGCUGAAAAUUUCUGCCAAAUAUCUUGGUAACAUUUAGAACUGUUUUCAAAAGAAAGAAAGGCACUAUUAAGACCAGCUCUAAGCUCAAGCAAGAUCUCCAGGUGUGCCUAAAGAAUCUUGGGGAUGUGUCUUCUGAAGCUAAAGAGACCCCUAAGCAUCCUGCAAAAUACCAGUGCACAACAAUUUGGGACAUAGCUUAAGCUUUCUGCUCGAUGCUGGCGACAAAGAGGAGAAAGACAACUUCUACUCUCAGACAACUUAGUCUGCUUUAGGAGUUACAAACACAGACAAUUUCAACACUGGAUGAAAAUGAUGGGACAAAGGUAAAAGGAGAGAGGAAUGCAUCUCAGCUGAGUUUCAGAAAAAAAAAAAGUUUUGAAGAGAUCUCAAUGUUAGGAAGCCAACAAGGCCUGCAAAAGUCACCUAGAUCAUGAAAUUGACUAUGUCAGGGGAGGCAAUUCGUCACAAUCGUGUUUGAAAAUGAGGAUAAGCAUGGAGAGCCAAUGAUUACAUUUCACAAUGUCCUUCAUGGGAAACUAUAUCCCAGAAGAGUUAGGCCACUUCCUUAAGAUCAUGCAACCUACUUCUACAGUACCAUCAAUAUGAAGGUGAUUGCUUUUUCUCCACAUUUUAGAACUAACUAAUUUUGCCCAAUUCUUUGGCUUACUAGGUUUGAAUGAAAAAAUAUAGACUCCUGAAGUGAGGAGAUAAAUUAGAAAGGGUUGUGCAGUCCAGACAAAUUAUUAUUUUGUGCCAGCAAAACUACA
rnacentral:lncRNA from 1 species